rnacentral:lncRNA from 1 species
AUCAUCCUUUACUUUCGAAGAUCCUGCUCUCUCAAGCAACUAAUAUUAUGGGCACGUGAAUCCUCUGCUGUGUACCUCGAGAUGCAGUGCACAGCACACAUACUCGUGCAUAUAGUGGGCUGUGUGAUGUAUGCCACAUCUGGCCAUACAUACUGUUCAUCAUGCGAUAAAUGAUGUAUGUAUGCGAUACAUUGUAUCGUCCGGUGCAUCACGUGCAAAGCAGAGGAUCCGU